rnacentral:rRNA from 1 species
UACAGAGGGGGCAAGCGUUGUUCGGAAUUACUGGGCGUAAAGGGCGCGUAGGCGGCCUUCUAAGUCGAACGUGAAAUCCCCGGGCUCAACCCGGGAACUGCGUCCGAUACUGGAAGGCUUGAAUCCGGGAGAGGGAUGCGGAAUUCCGAGGUGUAGCGGUGAAAUGCGUAGAUAUCAGGAGGAACACCGGUGGCGAAGGCGGGAUUCUCCUGGGCAUUACCUGACGCUGGAGGAGCGAAAGUGUGGGGAGCGAACAGGA